AAGGCCGGGCAAAAUUGGCUCUUUUAAUGUCUUUGCUCCAUUCUCAUUACACGACAAUGAGCAAAGAGGGGCAGCUGUAAUAGCCAUUUUGCCCGGGGCCCAAAACACUAAAGCCCAAUACCAGCAAAAAUAAAAAAAACAGUCCAAAAUAAACAGUGGCCCAAAAUACCCAACAGGCCCAAAUUAAGAAACCCUAGCCCGACAGAAUAGAAAACAAUCAGAAACCCUAGGGCCUCUAGUGCCGCAUGCUCCCCUGCCCCCUUGCUGCCACCGCCGUUCGUCGCAUGUCUCAUCUGCACCGCCACCAUCGCCUAUCGUUGGCCUUCCCCGCGCAUCAAUCACCUGCAAACAGAGAGCCACACGCAAACAGAAACAACAAGAGGAAAAAAACAAAGAAGUAGAAAACAACAAAUGAAAAUCCAAAC
rnacentral:lncRNA from 1 species